rnacentral:rRNA from 1 species
AUUGAACGCUGGCGGCAGGCCUAACACAUGCAAGUCGAGCGGAUGAAGGGAGCUUGCUCCUGGAUUCAGCGGCGGACGGGUGAGUAAUGCCUAGGAAUCUGCCUGGUAGUGGGGGAUAACGUCCGGAAACGGGCGCUAAUACCGCAUACGUCCUGAGGGAGAAAGUGGGGGAUCUUCGGACCUCACGCUAUCAGAUGAGCCUAGGUCGGAUUAGCUAGUUGGUGGGGUAAAGGCCUACCAAGGCGACGAUCCGUAACUGGUCUGAGAGGAUGAUCAGUCACACUGGAACUGAGACACGGUCCAGACUCCUACGGGAGGCAGCAGUGGGGAAUAUUGGACAAUGGGCGAAAGCCUGAUCCAGCCAUGCCGCGUGUGUGAAGAAGGUCUUCGGAUUGUAAAGCUCUUUUAGUUGGGAGGAAGGGCAGUAAGUUAAUACCUUGCUGUUUUGACGUUACCAACAGAAUAAGCACCGGCUAACUUCGUG